ACGACCUUACUUGAACAGGAUCUGUUCUAUAGGCUCGUACCAUUGUGUCCUUGAGUUCUAAGGAGACAAGAACCUAAACCUGGUUGAUGAAUCAUGACCGUGUAAUCAGAGCGUGAUUAAUGGCUAUGAUGAUCUCUCCUUUGAGAGAGAAUCAUCUGUGGCAGUGGAGGAUCGUUCUCAGGCUGUGUUCACCACUGGCUGAGAUGGUUACACGGUUGUCUGACAGGUU
rfam:Lupinus angustifolius cultivar Tanjil contig_27803, whole genome shotgun sequence.